GAUGAACGCUGGCGGCGUGCCUAAUACAUGCAAGUCGAGCGAAUGGAUUAAGAGCUUGCUCUUAUGAAGUUAGCGGCGGACGGGUGAGUAACACGUGGGUAACCUGCCCAUAAGACUGGGAUAACUCCGGGAAACCGGGGCUAAUACCGGAUAACAUUUUGAACCGCACGGUUCGAAAUUGAAAGGCGGCUUCGGCUGUCACUUAUGGAUGGACCCGCGUCGCAUUAGCUAGUUGGUGAGGUAACGGCUCACCAAGGCAACGAUGCGUAGCCGACCUGAGAGGGUGAUCGGCCACACUGGGACUGAGACACGGCCCAGACUCCUACGGGAGGCAGCAGUAGGGAAUCUUCCGCAAUGGACGAAGGUCUGACGGAGCAACGCCGCGUGAGUGAUGAAGGCUUUCGGGUCGUAAAACUCUGUUGUUAGGGAAGAACAAGUGCUAGUUGAAUAAGCUGACACCUUGACGGUACCUAACCAGAAAGCCACGGCUAACUACGUGCCAGCAGCCGCCGUAA
rnacentral:rRNA from 1 species